UGGGCGUAAAGCGCGCGUUAGGUGGUUUAUUAAGUUGGAUGUGAAAUCCCCGGGCUCAACCUGGGAACUGCAUCCAAAACUGAUUCACUAGAGUACGAUAGAGGGAGGUAGAAUUCACAGUGUAGCGGUGGAAUGCGUAGAUAUUGUGAAGAAUACCAAUGGCGAAGGCAGCCUCCUGGAUCUGUACUGACACUGAGGUGCGAAAGCGUGGGUAGCGAACAGGAUUAGAUACCCUGGUAGUCCACGCCGUAAACGAUGUCAACUAGCUGUUGGGGAACUAUGUUCUUCAGUGGCGCAGCUAACGUAGUAAGUUGACCGCCUGGGGAGUACGGCCGCAAGGCUAAAACUCAAAUGAAUUGACGGGGACCCGCACAAGCGGUGGAGCAUGUGGUUUAAUUCGAUGCAACGCGAAAAACCUUACCUAUACUUGACAUACUUGGAAUGCUUUGUAAUGAAGCAGUGCCUUCGGGAGCCAGGAUACAGGUGCUGCAUGGCU
rnacentral:rRNA from 1 species